CGGAGCUGCGCCGGCGUCAGAAAGGGGGCGGGGGGUCCUUGGACAUUGCAGAAUUUAAUUCAAAAGAGGACGUUCUUCUUGAAGAUGCACCAUCAUAGAUUCUGCCCACACAAGCACCAGCAAAAGAAUUGGCAUUCCAGAUGAAUUAGAGAGUGGUGCACAUGGAGGAUCAUCUAGCGUGUUGGCAAAACUAGGUAGUGGUGAUCGGAAUAGCCCAAGAGAUGGCUUGCCAGAGAAUGAGGUUGUCAUCUAGCUCUCUUGAGCUGGAUGGAAUACGGACAUCAUGGAUACAGCCUUGAAAGGAACACUGCUUGAGGCACAAAAGCAAUUUUACAAGGUAGUGGGGGGCUUGCCAUAGAGAUGCCACAUCAUGCUCGAAGAAUGAGAGAAUCCAAUUCCAGUUAGUUUGCUGUCACCUUGCAAGGCAUCGGCAGGUUGCAGUCUACCAGGGAGCUUGUGGCCACUUCCAAGAAUACUGUAGUUGAGUCCUUACAAUAAAAGUUUGUGUUACUUUUCUGCUUUAA